rnacentral:rRNA from 1 species
AUUAAACGCUGGCGGAAUGCUUUACACAUGCAAGUCGAACGGCAGCACGGACUUCGGUCUGGUGGCGAGUGGCGAACGGGUGAGUAAUGUAUCGGAACGUGCCCAGUCGUGGGGGAUAACGUAGUGAAAAUUACGCUAAUACCGCAUACGAUCUAUGGAUGAAAGCGGGGGAUCGCAAGACCUCGCGCGAUUGGAGCGGCCGAUAUCAGAUUAGGUAGUUGGUGGGGUAAAGGCCCACCAAGCCAACGAUCUGUAGCUGGUCUGAGAGGACGACCAGCCACACUGGAACUGAGACACGGUCCAGACUCCUACGGGAGGCAGCAGUGGGGAAUUUUGGACAAUGGGCGAAAGCCUGAUUCAGCCAUUCCGCGUGCAGGAUGAAGGCCCUCGGGUUGUAAACUACUUUUGUACAGAACGAAAAGGUUUCUACUAAUACUAGGAGCUCAUGACGGUACUGUAAGAAUAAGCACCGGCUAACUACGUGCCAGCCGCCGCCGUAA